rnacentral:rRNA from 1 species
AGCUCCAAUAGCGUAUAUUAAAGUUGCUGCAGUUAAAAAGCUCGUAGUUGCAUUUCCGAGGCAAGGGAUUAGUCCGACCUUUGGUGGGUAUUUAAUCCUCUUGCCUCGUCCUUGAGUGGUGCUUCUUGGUAUUAAGUUAUCGAGGAGAUAGCCGCUCAUCGUUUACUGUGAGAAAAUUAGAGUGUUCAAAGCAGGCUUAUGCCGUUGAAUAUAUUAGCAUGGAAUAAUAAGAUAGGACCUCGGUCCUAUUUGGUUGGUUUGAGAACCAAGGUAAUGAUGAAUAGGGACAGUUGGGGGUAUUCGUAUUCAGUUGUCAGAGGUGAAAUUCUUAGAUUUACGGAAGACGAACUACUGCGAAAGCAUUUACCAAGGAUGUUUUCA